rnacentral:rRNA from 1 species
CGGAGGUGCAAGCGUUAAUCGGAAUUACUGGCGUAAGCGCACGCAGGCGGUCUGUUAAGUCAGAUGUGAAAUCCCCGGGCUUAACCUGGGAACUGCAUUUGAAACUAGGCAGGCUUGAGUCUCGUAGAGGGGUAGGAAUUCCAGGUGUAGCGGUGAAAUGCGUAGAGAUCUGGAGGAAUACCGGUGGCGAAGGCGGCCCCCUGGACGAAGACUGACGCUCAGGUGCGAAAGCGUGGGAGCAAACAGGAUU